ACUCUCUCCCUCACACAAAUCAACUCCCGGCACAGAAUAUAGAUUGUUCUCUGUUUUUGCAGGCUUAGGAAAUGGAGCGGAUUCAUUAGUGCCAGAGGUCGUCUCAUGAGAUUUGCCAUCAACCAGGCGACGGCGGAGCCAUGAAGUUCGUCCAUGAUUUCCUACAUGUUGUAGGAAUAUUGUUGCCGAUGGUUAGGGAGUUCAUAGCUCUAUCUGGAGAAGCCGGACUGGUCGAGCAGAUUUUCUGGUUCAUAUGUAAAGUUGCCGACAUGAUGUUAGAACAGGAUUGGAGCACCAGUCCCCUAGUCAUGUGUAUUCACGCUUUCUGCGGGUUCAUUGCCUUUGGAUUUGAACUUCACCGGAACGGCUGCAAGACUACGAUCCCUUUGCCUCAAAGGAUCCAAAUACAUUUGUAAGCGCAUUUCUCUUGUUGAGGUGGUCUCAUGGGCCUGUGGGACCGUGGGCAUAUGGGCCUCUGCCCGGUUAACUUGUGGGCCUGUGGGCCAAUAUCUAGUCUUAGAUUAUUCUAGAUAUUCCUAUAAGUCCUAUUCUAUUUCCCCAA